GGUCGCAAGACACUGGCGCACGGGUGAGUAACACGUAGGUUAUCNGCCCCCAUCACAGACAUAACCCCGGGAAACCGGGACUAAUAUCUGAUGAGGCCGAGAGGUCAAAGCUUUAUGCGGAUGGGGAUGAGCCUGCGGCUGAUUAGCUAGUUGGUGAGGUAAUGGCUCACCAAGGCGACGAUCAGUAGCUGGUCUGAGAGGACGAACAGCCACACUGGAACUGAGACACGGUCCAGACUCCUACGGGAGGCAGCAGUGAGGAAUAUUGGUCAAUGGGCGAGAGCCUGAACCAGCAAUGCCGCGUGUGGGAUGACAGGGCUUCGCCUUGUAAACCACUGUCGGAUGGGACGAAAAGAGGCAACAGCCUCUGGGACGGUACCAUCAAAGGAAGGGUCGGCUAACUACGUGCCAGCAGCCGCGGUAAUACGUAGGACCCGAGCGUUGUCCGGAUUUACUGGGUAUAAAGGGUGCGUAGGCGGUCUUGUGCGUCAGAGGUGAAAUCUCCGGGCUUAACCCGGAGGGUGCCUUUGAAAC
rnacentral:rRNA from 1 species